UUUAUGGAGAGUUUGAUCCUGGCUCAGGAUGAACGCUGGCGGCGUGCCUAAUACAUGCAAGUCGAGCGAUCGGACGAGAAGCUUGCUUCUCUGAUGUUAGCGGCGGACGGGUGAGUAACACGUGGAUAACCUACCUAUAAGACUGGGAUAACUUCGGGAAACCGGAGCUAAUACCGGAU
rnacentral:rRNA from 1 species